UUUUCUUUCAAAAACCACUAUGAACCCUGCUCAUCCAGCUCACUCAAGUUGUUCUCUUGUAAAGAAAUUACCUUUCCAUGGGGGAAACCAAGGCUUGCAGAAAUUGAAAUCUUGUCUAGACUGGUCAUUGUGGAGGGUGGGCUGGAAUCCAGGGCUGGUGAUAACUCAUCCCCUCUCCCUCCAUACUCAAGAUACAGCAGUUUGAUGUACAGACAGUAGUGUAAGCCAGUGGGGAGAAAAUCAGAAACUUCAAGUCCUCACAGAACUGUAGGUGUGCAUCACAGUGUGCCCAGAGAGAAGCCCUGCUCUUCUGCACAGCAAAGGACUCGGCUCAGCAAACACCAGUUGGUAGGCAGAACACAGAAAAAGACUCUUCAGCCAUGUUGUGGUUUCGUGUGACCUCAUCAAAUCCAACUUCCUGUCUGAGAUAACUCAGAUUCAUUAAUCCAGUCGACAGCUACUCACUUACAUUUUCCCAGACCUCAUGGUAGUUCUGGAGAUCCUGAUGUGAAAGAUGCAGCCCCUGCCCAUAGAAGCUUAUCUGACAGCAAAUCCCAGUGUGGUGGUGAUGUUCACGAAAUUAAACCUUUGGAAUGUCCUCAGGAGCAGGAGCGAUGGAGGCAUCUUGUGUUACGCCAACAAGACGACUUUUGGAUCUCACCUGAAGAUAGGGGGCUUCCAGGAGACCCAGCCAAGUGAUUAGAGUGGGAACUUCCUGUCUGACUCCAGGUUUCUUAAGAGAUUGAAUUAGUGGCCAACAACCAGUAUAAUAAAGCCUCAGUAGAUUGAGAGAACUUCCGGAUUGGUGACUACAUGGAGAUCUGUGGAAAAUGACAAGUCUGGAUAAGGCAGAGAAGCUCUGAACCCCAUAUUUGCCUCAUGAACCCCUUCUGUCUUUCAUUCCCAAGUUACAAAUCCAUUGGUGAGAAAGCACUGAUUUUAAGUCUCAAUACCUAGUGGGAGUACGACAGCACUUGAAGAAGCUCCUCAGAUAGGUGGAGCAGUGCUGUGAUAUCUUUCCCUCUCUUUGUCUGAAGUAAAAAAAUGUCAAGAAGUCAGCCCAGGAGUGAUGGCAUGAUGUAUAUAUAAGGUCAUGGUGCCUCAGUCAAUCAAUGUAAACCAAAGAUCUAGCAAGCAAACUGA